ensembl:lncRNA
UAGGCAGCACGUGAACAGUCAGUUCUUGAAGCUGAUGUGUUGGAAGCAGGAAAAAUGGGCAAGCGUUAGGAUCUGAACUUUAACAAGGGCAAUAUCGUGAUGGCUAGACGACCGGGUCGGAGCGUCUCCAGAACGGCAGGUCUUGUGGGGUGUUCCCGGUAUGCAGCGGAUAGUACCUUACAAAAGUGGUCCAAGGAAGGACUACUGGUGAAUGUGCAACAGGGUCAUGGGCACCCAAGGCUUAUUGACGUGUGUGGGGAGGAUAGCGAAGGCUAGACCAUCUGCUCCAAUGCCACAGAAGAUCUACUGUCGCACAAAUUGCUGAAUGGAGCAAUGGAAGAAGGUGGCCUAGUCUUAUGAAUCACGUUGUCUUUUACAUCAUGUGGAUGGCCACGUGUGUGUGUGUGUGUGUGUGUGUGUGCAUGCGCGUCACUUAUCUGGGUUAGAGAUGGCACCAGGAUGCACUAUGUGAAGAAGGCAAGCCGGUGGAGGCAGCGUGAAGCUCUGGGUGAUGUUCUGCUGGGAAACCUUGGUUCCUGGCAUUCAUGAUAAUGCGCCCUGAGACACUGCAAAAAUUCAUCAGGAACGGUUUGAGGAACAUGACAAGGAGUUCAAGGUGUUGACCCGAUCCAAUCGAUCUGUUGGAUGUGCUGUACAAACAGGUCCGAUCCACUAAGGCCCGAUCUCACAACUCACAGGACUUAAAGGAUCUGCUGCUAACGUCUUGGUUCCGGAUACCACAGCGCACCUUCAGAGGUCUUGUGGAGUCCGUGCCUCGACGGGGCCGAGCUGUUUUGAUGGCACAAGUGCGACCUACACGAUAUUAGGCAGGUGGUUUUAAUGUUAUGGCUGAACAGUCUACAUUUCCUUUGUUAAAUAACAACGCUUCUUAAACCUGUUUAUUAUUAGUGUUAGGUAAUGGAGAUCGGCUGCAUGGACUACAAUUUCCUGUCGAUUAGGUGUCACUAUAGAAACCAUACGCAGCGUAUCAGAAGGAUAAUAUAAACCUGCACUGGUGCUAUUGACGGAGAUUCUGUUACAGAAAAUCAAUCAACACCUUCUAAACAAAUAGAAUAAAAAAAUAAUCAUUUUAAAGGAAAAAUUUAAAUUGAACUCGAGCUACUCUGGAAACUUGAAUCACUGUAUAAAAAAAAAACACCAACAAAAAAAAACACACCAACAACAACAACAACAACAUUGUGCUUUUAAAAAAAUAUAUGUAUUUUUUGUUCUGUUAAGAAUGUCUCUUGACAAAGGCUUACUGUGUGGAGGUUUGGAAUAAUAAUAAUAAUAAUAAUAAUAAAAAAGUAUAAAGACUAUAAAAAUAUAAAAAAAAUAUUGAUGUUGGGUUUUUAUGACUGAACCGAUGGAGUUCACUAGAUUGUCUUGUUUUCUGCUCCGAAAUUGACUCCAGUAAUAGCAUCUUCUCUUCCUCUGUCACUUUUAAUCUGUAAACUUCUCCCAUAAAAUGUGAUGAAUGGUUGUUUUUUUUUUUUGUUUGUUUUUUUGCAUGACUGCCACCCUUACACAAUAUAACGUGUUUCCUGGCAUCCGUUAAAUGAAUACAAAAGCAUCUAUUUUGCUGUGUGAAGACCUUUCAGAGCUAAUGUAAGCUCUCGGUAUGACUAACUCUAU